GGGGCCUCACCUCGAGAACCACCUUACGCAUGCGCCCCAGGUCCCCGAGGUAAGCCGAGGUGUGCGGGUGGUCGCGGUGAAGGUGCAAGGCUGCAGUGGCUGCAUGACAAGCCUGGGCUACCAAUGCGCCCGCCGGCCAGGAGAACGGAGCCUGCGAUAGAUCUUUUCGUAACACCAAGUAUUGUACCAGGAUCUGCGGCUCCGCCCCAGAAGACGCCAUCUUUCUGACAACCUGAAAGGCCAGGCCUGCUCCCCGGUGCAUCCUGGGAUUAGGGAGGGGCCCUGAGCGCUGCCAUGUUUUUGUACGGCAGGAGCGCAAAGCACGCUGGGACUGACGCUGGUGUUUGAAGGACAUGUAGGUCUCUAGUAGACUUGACAACUUCAUAGGAAGACGGGACCUUGAGGAGGAGAUGGAGCGCGCACACACCAUAUGUCAAGACGGCGUGUCCUCAGGAGGUGUUUUAGCUCACUUGGAAAGAUUAGAGGCUCAAGUGAACAAAUCUCAUAAAAAAUCUGAAGAACUGCAGAGUGCUCAGGCAGAGGAAAGUGCUCUUGAAACGAAGAUUCACCAACUGAGGCACAUUCGGGAUAAACUGAGGGCUGAAGUGAAGCAACGGCAAGCUAGAGCUAAAGCAUCUUCUGCCAACGUAGAACCUGACCAAACAGUGGAGAUCAGUGAGCAAGAUGUUUUGGAAAGAAAACAGGAAAACAUGAAAGCCAUUCUGCAAGCUUAUCAUUUUACAGGGCUCAGUGGAAAAGUAACCAGCCGCGGAGUCUGUGUCUGUAUCAGCACUGCUUUUGAGGGGAACCUACUGGAUUCCUAUUUUGUGGACCUUGUCAUACAGAAGCCGCUCCAAAUCCAUCACCAUUCCAUUCCAGGCUUCAUUCCUCUUGAAAAAAUUGCUGCAAAAUACUUACAGACUGAUAUUCAGCACUUCCUGUUCAGUCUCUGUGAAUACCUAAAUGCUUAUUCUGGGAGGAAGUACCAGGCAGAUCAACUUCAGAGUGACUUCGCAGCCCUUCUCACUGGGCCCUUGCAGAGAAACCCCCUGUGCAACUUGCUGUCAUUUACUUACAAAGUGGAUCUGGGGGAUCGGUCAUUCCCAUUUUGUGCCAGAUUGCUAUAUAAAGACCUCACAAGAACUCUUCCAACUGAUGUCACCGUUACAUAUCAAGGAAUGGAAACAUUGUCCACUGCAUGGGAAAAGCAGAGAGCAUCUCAUGAAACAUUGUUCUGUACAGUGCCACUGCAUCGAGUGUUUGCUUCAUUUUCAAGAGAAGGAGAAAAGCUGGAUUUGAGUCUGGCCUCCUAAAAUAAUGUUUCCAUUGGGAGCACAUCUGAAAAAUAACCCCCCUCCCCCUACCAGGUGAAAGGAAAUAUUGCACUUUCUGCUCUCAUGACUAAGGUGAUUGGGGGUUCCAGAAGAACCUUUCAAGAUUACCAGGCACAUCAGGACAAGGACCAUUUAACCUAACUGGGACCCUGCGGAGACAAUCAGGUCCCACUGGAGCUCUCUUCACAACGAAAGCACUGCCGUCAGGUUCCAACCAGGAGUGGAGCAUUCUCCAGCAGUGUCUAGCUCUGCCACGCUCUACUCUUUUUAGCAAAGCUCCUGUACCUGUGCUCCCAGCCCGGGGCAAAGGCAGCUUCGUUCCACCUCUGCUGAAUUCUUACUCACAGUGGCCAUGGCCUCUCUGGGGGAAGAAGGGCUGAGUUGUAACUGGGGCUCUGGAAGGACUGUUCAGUACUACGCCUAAGACCCCCUACACUGGGGAAGCUACAGGCACACUGAAGAAUAGUAUGGCCACCCUCAGAGCUGACAUAUCCACAAACAAAUGAAGGCUUAAGAUUUUUAAACCUAAAGUCUACGGGAGUGUGCACUUCAACAAUUCAGGAACAUCAAGAUGUGGUCAUUGCCCUUUCUGAAGGCCUUUCUUCAGUUCCAAAAAGAAAAAAACCUCUCCCUUCCCAUGUGGGCCGUUGUGGGAUCAGAGGCCAUUCAGGAGUUGUCCACCACCUGAUGGGGCAGUGUAACAGAGGAGCCAUUGGGGAAGGCAGCUGGCUUAUCCUUCCCCUUUAAGAAAAAGGUCAGAAGCUCGCCCUUCCCUUUCACAAAGAUGGGACCUCGUCUCACAAAGCGAAAGCCGUACUCUCGGAGGAUGACCUGCGUUUCUUCUACGACCUGCAUGUGAAGGAGAGAGUAAGAGAGCUUAGGGUUAGGGAGGGAGCCUAGACUGUGCUGGGCUGAGGGACUUGGGUGUUUGGGCUGAAAAUGGAUCCACACAGUACUAUAUUUAUGUGACCAUCAGGUCCCCGUCAGUGCCGAACUUCAAUGCUCUACCCCAGACACCCAAGAGGGCCUGAGGUGAGAACCAUGGAACUCAGGGUGACUGGUCCAAAGCCCUUCUCCCUCUCAAAGACAGCCUUAGUCCUCUCUCCCAGUAGGACAGCCUCAGGUCACCCAUGCAGAAGACUGCAGUCUGGGAACUUUAACUCCCUACUCUACUCCCUGGGCUCCCAUUUCAUGGGGCUUUUCUGGCAGACUCAGAUGACAUACCACGAGUGUUGCAGGGGGAGCUGCUUUCAGCACCAGACAUCAGUUCACACCGAAGGGAAAUGGCGUGCAACAUGCUCAGGCAACAUGUUGGUGACCAAGGCUUCGUUCCAGCGUCGCAUCUCAUAGACACGUUCCUUUUGGUCAUGGACUUCAAUCUUCCACAGGAACAGCGUCCUCGCCAGCUUUUCCACCUACAGACACAGACACAGGCAAGGAAAGCAUCUGGCUGCCUGCUCACAGAACCUCCAGCUUCUCUAUGAACUGAGGAGAACAGAAGAUGUUUUGUCUUCUAGCCAUCUGGGCCCUGUGAAGCUUGCUGUUCCUACUGUCCCACCUUUCUAGGAAGUUCUGGCCAUGUUCAGAAAGUAAACAGGAGCUCCUUUGGUGAAACAGGUUUACCUCCCUGGCCCAGAUGGAUACUUGACACUAGCCACAAUGUAAGGAAUGCUUCAGGUGUACAGAAGGCAUGUGUGUCUGCACUCCCUAAACAAAGAGACAUGAAGGAAGGAAACUUGGAAGUGGGAUUUAAAACUGCUUUAAUUCUUGGACUCUUGACUAUGUCACUGACUGGCUGUGGAUGAAAGUCAGUGAAUCUUUCUGAGCCUUAGUACUUUCAUAUGAAACUGUAGAUACUGAUGUUCUUAACUCAGGACUAGAUUCAUGGAACUGGGCUCAGACUCUGAGAGAGAAGAUCUGCAAGGAAACACGUUAGUCUCAGGUUCCCUGGGCAACAGCAGAGGACCCAUUCAUCUGGCUGGAGUAAUCAGUUUAGGAACUUAAAUGCCACUCUGAAUCUAUGUCUGCUUGCAGAGGAAUGGACCAACAGACUGCUUGUGCAGCUAGUACAGAAGCCCUUCUCCACUGGGAACUGAUUUCCCCUUCAACAAGGACAGAGGAGCUCACCAUGUCUACAACGUUUGCCAUAACCAGAAUGAAGAUGGCUAACAUGGCCCAGGUGUUCCUGGCCCAGCGGGUCCGGUCGAUCCAAGUUGAGAAGGCCACAAGCUUCUUAGGAAAGGCCUAGAAGGAAUGGAAUUUCAAGGGUCAUGAGCCUUUGACAGCCCUUUGUCCAGCAGACAUGACUGCUGAUGACUCUGAUUGCUCCCAUACUUUGCCCCUAGGAACCUAAAAAGUGCCUUGCCACUGUGUCACCCAAAAACUGACAGAGUAAGGCCACGCUGAGGAGACAGUGCAGGAGUCUAGCCGAUCUGUCAGUCCUCCAGGUGUGUGUGCAACUCUAUGGCCUCCAGUUGCAGCCCUUGGCAGAACAGAAAUGCUGACCAUCAAGGAGGCUUGGACAACACUGACAGCACUGUUCAUUCUCCGUCUCCAAGAGGACAAAACAGGGCAGGGGACAACUUUCAGGACCAGCCUUCUGCCUAACCAUCUACCCAGCCUUUCCUAGGUCAAUACACCUAAAUCCCUCAGGUUACCUGUCAAGCCAUCUGUCAGAUUUCUAUAAAACACUACUUUUCUCUUGUCAUUCUGAUCAAACACUGCCUAGCACCCCUGUACCUGUAGGAGAAAGUCUUAAUCCCUUUAGUCUGGCUCCUAAAGUUCUUCAUAGUCAAAGCCAACCCACCUUCGAGCUGGGCCUGCAUUGCUUUUCUACCCAGGUUCCCCUUUAUCCAGACUGCCUUACUGGGGUGCUGUCACAUAUAGCACCAUGGCCCAUCGGAGUCCAGCCCAGAGGGUAUGUUCAGCCAACAGUGACGGAUGAAUGAGUAAGGGAGUGAGUGGAUAAAUGCCAGAACCAUCCCAACAAAAGACAAUUAAAAUUUGACAGGAAACAUAGAUCCUUAAUAUGCAGUUUCAUAGGGAGUGCACUCACUUCCAGAAGCUUCCAAGUCCAACAGACAAUGCCUCUUACCCGGGGGAAGAUGGCAGCCAUUGAGCAGAUGGUCAAGAUCAGGAGCAGAAUCUCCCCAACCACAAAGGUCACAUAGUUUGUCAUCAGCCUACAGCAGAGAAAUGAUGAUUAGAAUAGGGUGAGAUUGGGUGAGGAGCUCAAGAGUACAGAGAAAAGCAUGGUACAAGUUAAAUGUGACACCAGAGAAUUGCUGCUGCUGCUGCUGCUGCUACUACUCUACUGAACAAAACGAGAGGCCCUGGGUAGUGCAGUACCAACUGAGUACAGGGCCUGGGAACAUGCCACCUCCCCAGUUGUCCCCUGGACAUUUCCCAGAGAGAGGGGAGAGUCACAGAUACCCUGGACAUAGCCCAAUAAAAACUUGGGAAGGGAUUCUUAGGAAUGAGCGUCUGCCAUGUAACUAUGAUACACAGUUCAGAACUGCUGAGGGUGGCAACGUCUGGCAGAUCCCUUGACUCCUCAGAGCCUCAGUGGACAAGUUCCUUCCACAUCCACUUCAUCCCAUUCACUCUGAGAAAUCUGCUGUCUCUCAAUCCUUCACACCCAUUCCCAUUUCACCCCUUCACAGAGAGUGGAGAGCCUCAGAAACUUCAUGUAGCUAAAUCCAGUGGCCAGUUUGAGGUCAUCUCAUAACUCCUCCUCGAAACAUUCUCACUUGGUUUGCAGGAUCUUUUCACUUUCUGCUGGUUCUUUAUGUCUUCCUACCUCUACACGCAGUUACGCCACCUGACUCGGACUUUGACCCACUUCUCUUUCCACCUACACUCUCCCUUGGUGAUUUCGUCAAGUCUCAUGCUCUCAAUGCGCCCUGUGUGGAGUUGACUCCCAAGUUGGCAUCUCCACCAGUAUCUCCCAGUUCCCAGAUUACAACUCCGCUGCCUAUGGAUACCUAUGUUUGAGAUAUCUGUAUGCAUCUCAAACUUAACAUGGCCAAAACCAAAUUCCUGAUCUUUGCCUGUCCAGUGUUCCUUUUCCUAUGUUGUCCAUCUUGGUUAAUGGCAACUCCAUUCUGCCAGGUGCUGGUCAGCAACCUUGGAGGCAUCAUUCACUGUUUCAUACCUCACAACCAGUGUCAGCAAAUGCUGCCAGCAUUGUCUCCAAAAUAUACCUAGUAGCCAUCUCUCCAUCAGUAAAAGUCAUCCUCUAACUUCAGCCUGGCCUAAGGUGUCAUCACAUGGCUGAGAGGCUUGCUUGGCCACCACUGCCCUCCCGUACCAGGGGUCGAUGAGUAUCUCGACCAGGGCAGUGCAGAGGAGGACCACGCAGGAGCAGCUGAAGGCAGCCCCACUCUGCUUUUCCUUCUCCACAGAGUAGCGGAUUUCCAUCUCCGGGUCCAUGAACCGCAUGGA